CCCUCGCCCCCCCCCCCCCCCCAAAUGCGGAAACCAAGCGAGUACAAGUAGACGCACGCGCACACGCAUACGCAUCGCAGCCAGUUCAUCCUCGAUUCCUCCCCCGAAUUUCCUUCGCGAUCUCACCCCGCGUGCCCUAGCUAGCUAUCGAAUCCCGUCACCUCGGCGGCGGCGGCGAGAUCGGAGCUCCGGGUUAACCUCCUCCACCGCGAGGCGUGGAACCUCUCUCUCUCUCGCUCUCUCCACCUGAGGAUCGAAGAUCGAAACCCCUGGCACCGGCUCGGGCCGCGGAAUGGGCGGCCGCGGUGAGUAGCUAGGUCUGCGGCGGCGGAGUUGUUGUUGUUGGUGGUGGUGGUGGUGGAGGAGGAGUUGGCGGCGGAGGGGGCGGGGGCGUUGGUGGUGGUGGUGGUGGGAGAGUAUCAUGGUGCAGUGUCUCGACGGGGUGAGGCAGCUGCUGGCGGUCGUGUUCAAGUGCUGCGACCUCGAGCUGAAGCAGCCGCGGGGGCUCGAGGAUCCCCAGGUCCUCGCGAGGGAGACCGUCUUCAGCGUGAGCGAGGUCGAGGCGCUGUACGAGCUCUUCAAGAAGAUAAGCAGUGCUGUGAUUGAUGACGGGCUGAUUAACAAGGAGGAGUUUCAGUUGGCGCUGUUCAAGACCAGCAAGAAGGAGAGCCUGUUCGCCGACCGUGUAUUUGAUUUGUUUGACACAAAACACAAUGGAAUUUUAGGAUUUGAUGAAUUUGCUCGUGCACUCUCAGUAUUUCAUCCAAGUGCUCCACUUGAUGAGAAGAUUGACUGUGAGUUCAGACGUUUUCUCUUGUUUACUUAUCUUUUCUCAACAAAAAAUUCUGAAGAAGCUAUGCAAUUUUUGCAGUUUCAUUCCAGUUAUAUGAUCUCAAGCAACAAGGCUAUAUUGAGAGACAAGAGGUUAAGCAGAUGGUUGUUGCUACACUUGCUGAGUCUGGAAUGAAUCUUUCUGAUGAAAUUAUAGAGAGCAUAAUCGAUAAGACAUUUGAGGAGGCAGACACAAAGCAUGAUGGAAGAAUUGAUAAAGAAGAGUGGCGCAAUCUGGUUCUUCGUCAUCCCUCUUUGCUGAAGAACAUGACUCUCCAGUACCUCAAGGACAUCACCACUACAUUUCCAAGCUUUGUCUUCCAUUCCCAGGUCGAUGACACCUGAAUUCUUGGAUUUGUUUGAACUCAAACCAUCAGAAGAAUGCUCAUGCCGGUUCAUUAAGAAUUUUGAUAUUGGGUUGUUGGAUUGGGCAGAGACUCCAGAGCUCUGUAGGAUGUUGCAUGUUCGAUUUGAGAAGUUCUCAAAUCUUUAAAUUGAUGUAACUUUGUUUCUUUCGUUUGGAAGUUUAGUGUGGCUGGAGACUUUCGGGGAGAUGUUAAAUUUCUGUCUGAAUCCGUAGAUCCUUUAUUCUCUUCCCCUCUUUUCUGUUUUUCUGGCUAGCAAUCAGAAUAUCUUUUCUGUUUUUUUGGCUAGCAAUCAGAAUAUCGGAUAUAGUUUUGUGAAUCUUUCAUUUUGCGUACAAAAUAGGAACCUUCAAAAAAAUUGAUCGUGCUGGAAAAUGUUCUGUUGGAGUUUGCAAAUUGCAAUGAUCAUGAAAUGCUCUCCUUUUUUGAGAGUUUGCAUCA